rnacentral:rRNA from 1 species
GCUUCGGGUUGUAAACCUCUUUUAGCAGGGAAGAAGCGAGAGUGACGGUACUGCAGAAAAAGCACCGGGCUAACUACGUGCCAGCAGCCGCGGUAAUACGUAGGGUGCAGCGUUGUCGGGAAUUAUUGGGCGUAAAGAGCUCGUAGGCGGUUUGUCGCGUCUGCUGUGAAAUCCCGAGGCUCAACCUCGGGCUUGCAGUGGGUACGGGCAGACUAGAGUGCGGUAGGGGAGAUUGGAAUUCCUGGUGUAGCGGUGGAAUGCGCAGAUAUCAGGAGGAACACCGAUGGCGAAGGCAGAUCUCUGGGCCGUAACUGACGCUGAGGAGCGAAAGCAUGGGGAGCAAACAGGCUUAGAUACCCUGGUAGUCCAUGCCGUAAACGUUGGGAACUAGAUGUGGGGACCAUUCCACGGUCUCCGUGUCGUAGCUAACGCAUUAAGUUCCCCGCCUGGGGAGUACGGCCGCAAGGCUAAAACUCAAAGGAAUUGACGGGGGCCCGCACAAGCGGCGGAGCAUGCGGAUUAAUUCGAUGCAACGCGAAGAACCUUACCAAGGCUUGACAUAUAGGAGAACGCACUGGAGACAGUGAACUCUUUGGACACUCCUAUACAGGUGGUGCAUGGUUGUCGUCAGCUCGUGUCGUGAGAUGUUGGGUUAAGUCCCGCAACGAGCGCAACCCUCGUCCUAUGUUGCCAGCACGUAAUGGUGGGAACUCAUGGGAUACUGCCGGGGUCAACUCGGAGGAAGGUGGGGAUGAGGUCAAAUCAUCAUGCCCCUUAUGUCUUGGGCUUCACGCAUGCUACAAUGGCCGGUACAAUGGGCUGCGAUACCGUAAGGUGGAGCGAAUCCCAAAAAGCCGGUCUCAGUUCGGAUUGAGGUCUGCAACUCGACCUCAUGAAGUCGGAGUCGCUAGUAAUCGUAGAUCAGCAACGCUACGGUGAAUACGUUCCCGGGCCUUGUACACACCGCCCGUCAAGUCAUGAAAGUCGGUAACACCCGUAG